rnacentral:rRNA from 1 species
AGCGAACGCUGGCGGCAGGCCUAACACAUGCAAGUCGAACGAACCUUUCGGGGUUAGUGGCGGACGGGUUAGUAACACGUGGGAACGUGCCUUUAGGUUCGGAAUAACUCAGGGAAACUUGUGCUAAUACCGAAUGUGCCCUUCGGGGGAAAGAUUUAUCGCCUUUAGAGCGGCCCGCGUCUGAUUAGCUAGUUGGUUGAGGUAAUGGCUCACCAAGGCGACGAUCAGUAGCUGGUCUGAGAGGAUGAUCAGCCACAUUGGGACUGAGACACGGCCCAAACUCCUACGGGAGGCAGCAGUGGGGAAUCUUGCGCAAUGGGCGAAAGCCUGACGCAGCCAUGCCGCGUGAAUGAUGAAGGUCUUAGGAUUGUAAAAUUCUUUCAACGGGGACGAUAAUGACGGUACCCGGAGAAGAAGCCCCGGCUAACUUCGUG